rnacentral:rRNA from 1 species
GUGUCCCUACGGGACGCAGCAGUGGGGGAUAUUGCACAAUGGGGGAAACCCUGAUGCAGCGACGCCGCGUGGGCGAAGAAGUAUUUCGGUAUGUAAAGCCCUAUCAGCAGGGAAGAAGAAAUGACGGUACCUGAGUAAGAAGCACCGGCUAAAUACGUGCCAGCAGCCGCGGUAAUACGUAUGGUGCAAGCGUUAUCCGGAUUUACUGGGUGUAAAGGGAGCGUAGACGGCAGAGCAAGUCUGAAGUGAAAGCCCGCGGCCCAACUGCGGGACUGCUUUGGAAACUGCCCGGCUAGAGUGCUGGG